CUCGGAGGCUGCUGGUAGGGGGGCACCACUUUCAGAUAAAAACAUAGACCUGAAUGGCAUCAUCCAGUAUCCAAGGAAACCAUGCUUGCUUGAAGAGUGAGCAGGUGAGCAAAGAGACAAGAUUACAUGUUUAAACCAAGAAAAGAAUUUUGAAAAACAGAUUGGAAGAAUGCGAAAUGUUAUUAGACACAGGCACAGCAUAGCAGUAGAAACAUCUUAACUGAGAACCUGGAACUGAAAGAGAAAGCAACCAACUUAAAGGGCAGACAAGACACAUGGUUAUGUAACACAGCAGUGGGUAUUCACAGUGAUGACACAAGACAAAAUAAUUACAUUUUCAUUCUAAAAGCAAUUUUUAAGGAGGCAAGGGCAUUUAUAAAGCAUUUUAGAAACUAUUUAAUAAAAAUGGUAAAAUUAAAGUGUUUGUUUAUGUACUCAACAAAUAUUUAUUUGGAAAAUGCAUGUCUGGGGGCACAUCUCGUUAAUGAGGUGAUCCUGUGUUUAGAACUGAAGGCAGUCCUCAUCCAUUCUCUCAAAAGGUGACCUUCUUUGUUCUUCUUAUAGCCUCACCACAUUUAAUUUUCAGAGGUUUUGAUAUAAAUUAAAAACAUUCUUUGGUAGAUUGUAUUGUAUGAAAACACUCUUCAAAAGUGUAAGCAUUGAUAUCUGGCAUAUCUGGGAAAAUGUACAAUAAAGACAUCUCUUCUGGUCUU
rnacentral:antisense_RNA from 1 species